AGUGAACGCUGGCGGUAGGCCUAACACAUGCAAGUCGAACGGCAGCACAGGAGAGCUUGCUCUCUGGGUGGCGAGUGGCGGACGGGUGAGGAAUACAUCGGAAUCUACUUUUUCGUGGGGGAUAACGUAGGGAAACUUACGCUAAUACCGCAUACGACCUAAGGGUGAAAGCAGGGGAUCUUCGGACCUUGCGCGAUUGAAUGAGCCGAUGUCGGAUUAGCUAGUUGGCGGCGUAAAGGUCCACAAAGGCGACGUUCCUUAGCUGGUCUGAGAGGAUUAUCAGCCAAAGUGGAACUGAGACAAGGUACAGACUCCUACGGGAGGCAGCAGUGGGGAAUAUUGGACAAUGGGCGCAAGCCUGAUCCAGCCAUACCGCGUGGGUGAAGAAGGCCUUCGGGUUGUAAAGCCCUUUUGUUGGGAAAGAAAUCCAGCUGGUUAAUACCCGGUUGGGAUGACGGUACCCAAAGAAUAAGCACCGGCUAACUUCGUGCCAGCAGCCGCCGUAA
rnacentral:rRNA from 1 species